AAUUUAGAAAACACCGUGGGAUACACAAGUGUAGUCUGUAUUAUCCAAAAACCUAAAAUUUCAUAGUUAACAUUAAGAUUCUAUGCAGCGAAUUCUGCCACAUUGACGGAGGAAAACAGAGACUCUGUCAACCGCCAUAAAAAGGGCGGUUCGCUGCAAAGCUGUGAACCAGAUAUGAGAUAACUCAGAUAGGUAGAUACUUUUAUUUAACGUACAACUUGGUACAUAAUAAAUUAAAUAAUCUAGAUAGAUAGAUAGAUAUUAUUUAACGUACAACUUGGUACAUUUAUAGAUAGAUAGAUAAUUUAGUGAACUUACAACUUGGUCCAUAUAUAUGAUAAUGUCUAGAUAGAUAAAUAGAUAUUUUUAUUUAACGUACAACUUGGUACAUAUAUAUAUCAAAUAAUCUAGAUCGAUAGAUAGAUAUUAUUUAACGUACAACUUGGUACAUAAUAGAUAAAUAGAUAUUUUACUAAACGUACAACUUGGUACAUAUAUAUAUCAAAUAAUCUAGAUCGAUAGAUAGAUAUUAUUUAACGUACAACUUGGUACAUAUAUAGAUAGAUAGAUAUUUUACUGAACGUACAACUUGGUCCAUAUAUAUGAUAAUGUCUAGAUAGAUAAAUAGAUAUUUUUAUUUAAAGUACAACUGGUACAUAUAUAUGUUAAAUAAUCUAGAUGAAGUUUUGUGAACAACUGUUCAAAACAUAUUUACCUACACAGAUAAAAAUACUUACCAAAACUAC
rnacentral:lncRNA from 1 species